AUCGCUUCUCGGCCUUUUGGCUAAGAUCAAGUGUAGUAUCUGUUCUUAUCAGUUUUACGUGGAUUUGAAGAGGACGACGGCUGUGCUUGGGCAUAGUUUUUAGAGGAGUUCAGGGGUGAACAUAUGUGCAGUAGCUGGUGGCCUGACCGCCGCUACCGCAAGGGGAUCCCUUGAACUCCUUUUUGCU